rnacentral:tRNA from 1 species
ACCUGGUUGGAGCAGUUGGUAGAGCUUGUGACUCUUGAUCUCAGGUUCAUGGGUUUGAGCCCCAUAUUUGGUG